rnacentral:lncRNA from 1 species
GGGUAAUUGAAAAACGCUUUCUCCUGGUGAUGUUGUCCAAAGUAGUGCAGAGCCUGUUGGAUUAUUCCUCUCUACCUGAUAUUGUGAUGCUAGAUCGUACACAGACACUGUGUGCUUGUAACAAGUAUUUUCGUAUAUCAUGAUGAAGGGAAAUAGUUGAGAUAUUGUCUUUAUGUGAAAGAAAAGCUUUCAAUCAAUCAUUUUUAAGUACAUUCUUGGAGUAUGAGCAUUUGUCUCUGUCUUUUGAAAAAGUAAAAGCAUCUCUUUUGGCAUUAAUUGGUAUGAAAACCAUGUGCACAGAGCAAAUGGCUCUUUCAAUGUUGUGGAUCAAAAAUGCUUGCCACAGUUAUAAGCAUAAAAAAAUUUGAUUUUUUUUCACACCUUGUCAAGGGCGAAGCUGCCCAACUAGUAAAAUCCUUGAUGAAAAAGCUUUGAGGCUACAAGUAUUAGCUGAGCCCAAUACUCUCGAGUCCGGUGAAUAAAUGCUAAUCAGAUUGUUUGCCUGUACGUUAUUGUCUCAAACAAGCAGGAAACAACAUUUAAAGAACAUACAGCGACUUGGAGAAUUGAGAGAACAAAACACAGAAGAACAAAACACUGCAGUUCCUUAAGUGUCCACUUGAAACAGACUCCAAAAGCCAUUUGAACCCCCUAUAAGCUCAUUUCCAAAUUUUCAGAGAAAACAUUUUACAGGUGUUGGCCUCUGUGCCUUUAAUGUUAACUGUACAGCAGGGGAAUGUUCUUAUAAGUUACCCAUUUUGAUUAUCUUGUGCUGUGUUCCAGUUGUACUCGGAAGUCGGAAUUUCCGAGCUCCGAGUCAGAAAUUCCAUGAAGUCGUAUUUCUGGCGAGGAAAGUCGGACAAUCCUCACCAACCCUGACUUGACAACAACGCCAUAAUCCAAGAUGGCAGCGCAGUGCAUCGACAGUAAAGAGUAACAAUGAAAGCUCUCGUACUGUAAUAUUUAUUAUCACCUCUGUUUUGUUUUUGUGAAAUUAAAUAAGUGGUAUAUGCCCAGCGUCUAACUGUGAACACGGUGCUAUGGUGUUUGUAAGAGGAAAAUACUGUUAUGCAUUCAUUACAACUAUGUGAAUUCCCCAGUUUGGGAUCAAUACAGUCUAUCUAUCUAUCUAUCGAUCUAUCGAUCUAUCGAUCUAUCUAUCUAUCUAUCUAUCUAUCUCGUAUAGCUAACAACAACUAACAACCACUGACAACAGCUAACAAUGGGUAUCUGUAGGAGUCCAUCUUGGUUUUCUGACUUCUUAACUCGAACGCUGUCAACUUGCGUGUAACAUCAUUCCCAGCUCCGACAUCCAAGGUAACUGGAACGCAGCAUUAAUGCUGAGAGCUGUUCAUUAUCAUGCAUAUUCAUGGGCGUGGUUGAUUUGACUGACACUUUAGACUUGACCUCUUUGGGGUUUCAAGAUUAGUUGGUAAUUAGCUGGGGUUAGUGUGUCAAAUGUGUUGAGCACGACUCUGGGCUUCAGAAUGUCUCAGCAGGAGCUCCUUCACUUUGAAUACAUCCAUUCCUUUUAUUCAGAUGACACACCGAAAAUGUCAAUCACUUGAAUACAUUUCACUGACUUAGAAAUCAUGUCCAUUUGGUAAAGUUUAAGUUAUCAUUUCCUUCUGGACAUAAGUGGUGGAUCAUCUGAACAACACUGUUAUGUUCCUACUUAGACUAAAGAUUUACACCUACAAAUUUAUGCAUUAGCACAGUAUUUAACACUUAGACAAUAUGUGUUUGACUGUGUGUGAGAAAGAUGAAAAAUAUGCAUAUUUCUCAAAAUGGCCUUGAAGUCCUUUCUACGAUUCAGAUUUUUAAUGUGUUAAGGUCAGCAUAUGCUUUGAGAUAAUCAUAUACUUCAGCACAAGGCCAAAUUGGGAUCCUUCCCUCACAAUGACCCAUUAGUUAAAGUCUGUGACUUGGAAAAGGAUGCAUGAUUCAUGAGUGAGCUAGAGAGCCAUUCCUAUUUUCAAGUCCACACUGGACCAGUCAUUACCAUAAAUUUCCCUGGUUUGCAUAUCAGUGCAGACUGUUGUGAGCCUUAGCCAAAGGACCAGGGGUGGAAGUGGUACACUUGUGGUGAAAGACUCUUAAUGUGAAAGGGCUCUUCUACUUUUAUUUCCAUUUCUCAACCACAUCUUUUCCUUCUAGUCCAACCCUUGGCCCCUGUUUGCCCUUCCACCCUUUCAUUCUCCACCCGCCCCUUCUACCAACCUCCUGCUGUUAUACCUCUAUCAAACACACUCCCCUGUUUAACUUUCCUCCACCCUUCAAACUGUCCAUCCUCAUUCCCUUACCUAUUCUCUCACUGUCUCUCCUCUUUCCUCUCUAUUCUAGUAUCUUCUGCUCCCUCGAUCCGUCUGUCCACCAUCCCUCCAUCUAUAUCUCAUUCCCUCUCUCCAAUUUUUCUCUCUAAUCCAUAUUCAUGUAAUUUCUAUAUGGCAGCCGGGGGCUGCUGUUAGGGACUGUUACUUUGUGUUAAAGGUCUUGAAAGCCCGUCUGAUUUACAGUAAUAACUUGGGAUAUAUCCAGAAAUACCAUUAUCGAAGCAUGCGCACACAUAGAGGCAGACACACACACACACACAAACACACACGCACACACACGCACACCCACACAGAGCUAUUUUCUACCUCCUAUAGCUACCUUCUGUCCUCUAUCCUGCUUGCAAUUUUUGUUGCACUUCUGAGCUGCUGUUACAAUCAGGCAUACAAUCCAACAAAAAUAUGACUUUUAAUGGAAUUCUAAGGUGGUCUGUGUGGUCCGUGUCCUUGUGUGUGUGUGUGGCUUUGUAUAUUUUUAUUCAUGCGUCCCAUUCCUUUACACAUGCCAAUGAAUCUGAGCGGUAAAUGGGAAACAUGGAUAUUAAAGAGCCAUCAAUUUAUGCAGCAACAAGAGAGAAUUGAUUGAAUUUGCUCGGAGUUAUAAUAACACAGAGGUGGUGAGAAAAAUCAAAGCCUGCCUGAUGCAUGAGGUGUCAUUGCCUUAGUCAUGGGAUGUGAUUGAGACGAUUGGCUCUGAACAACACAGUUAGCUGUUUUCAUCAGGGAUCUGAUGGUUUAAGCUAUCAUCACACACAGUAAUCCUAGUAUUACAAUGCCAGUGAGACAGUUGAGCCACAGCAUGAUAACACCUGACCAAAAAAUGUUACUUUGUUUUACUGCCCUUGCAGCGUGUGUACUAGUAUGCAAAGCAGGACAGCCAGCUAACAUCUUAGGAGUGCUUUCAUAACCAUACAAGGCUUUACUUUUCUUAUAUUUUACUGAAGUGUUACUGGAAUUGUGAAACUGAAACAUGACAGAAAUCAAAACAUAAGUCAGCAGACACAACGUGCUCAAAGUAACUUGUAAUUAUUUAUCUAACACUUACAGACAAAUAAUCUCGAAGGCAGAAGCCUUUUAGAUACACAGCAACAUGUGUAUUGUGUGCACAACUGCAGCGCAAGAAGCUAGCAAAGACGAGGAGACCUGCAAAGCUACACAGCUACACAAGGAACACAGCGCUGACUCUGACGAGAAACAACAAAGUACUUAAUUUUCUGACCCUUUAAACUGAGAAUUUAUUUAACAAUUUCCAACUGUUUACCUUCACCUUAAAGGCAGCACAAUUGUGUUCUCCAUUCGUAAGUGUUUCAUUUAAUCUACAAAAGAAAUGACAUGGGAUCUGCAAAGUGGUGUCAUCCUAAGACUCUCAGAUGAAUCUAUUUUGUCUAGGUCUCUGUAGUUUAAGAUAUUGUGAUUUUGGGCUCCUCACUUUAUCACUGUUGAGACUUCUUCAUUCCUGUUUUUAAGCAUAUUUGUAUUGUCGAAGAGAGUCACUAGAGGGUCUGAGUACCAUAUAGACCUUUGAGAAAAGGAUAGAGUAAGAAAAAGUGCACACGUGCAGGAAGUUUAGUUGGGAUUUAUUUUGACUUUGAGCUAUUUUUUGCUUGAUAUAAUGGAAAGGGACAGUGCCAGAGAUUUAAGGCUCCAUAAAAAAGAUAUACACAUACUGUAUAUAUAAAUAACAGAUGUUCUUGUGAUUUAAGGGCCCUUGUCAGGCUCUCAGAUUUAUCCCAAGGCUCCCCUGAGUUUUGCUGAAUUAAAUUUUCUAUAGUUUGUGUUAGCCCUAUUUCCUUUGUCAUCCAUCGUUUGAGUCGAUACCCAGGGUGUCAGUUUUGGAGCAUUAAAAAUGAUAAAAUUAAGGUAAGAAAUUAAUGUUUUUAUCAUUAUUUAUGUUAAUCUUCCGUCUCUUAUGCUACUUGCCAUCUGUGGUGAAGUUGCUAUGAUGUUUGACAACACUACAGUGUUUUUACUUCACUUUGAAAACUCCAAGAAGACUCUGUCAAAAGAAAUACGCACUUUAUAUCAAACAGAAUAAAAAUAUCACCAAGUCGAGUGUUGAGCUUCACAUUUAAGCUGCAAGAUGAGAAGUUAUCUUACAGGUGCAUUUAUUCAGACUUAAGUAACGGGCAACUGCAACACAAAAGCCAGCAGAGCGCUAUUUUGAAGUGCGUGGGUCACAAUCAACCUGUGAGUGAAACUAAUUUAAAGAUGUUUACAGUGCUUGCUAAAGGGGUAGCAACUGACUGCAGGCCCUACAUUGGCCUAACGUUGGGGUAGACUUAUGUCUAAAGGACAUCCUCAAGAUUAUCAAGUCAUUUUCUUUACCACCAUGCAUAACAGGCGUUUCACACCUUGCAAGACUGAAAUGAGACAGAGAAAGCAAUCACAGUGAAACUCCUAAAAAUGCAAAUG